rnacentral:rRNA from 1 species
AUGGCACACCCGGAGAACCCGUUACUCUUCAAUUUUGGCAUCAAUCAAGAGGAAGAGGAGCAAAACCCUCUGGCCCCCUUGUGGGCGGAGAUGUACCUAGCACUGGAGAUGGUUGCGCAGAUGGAUGCAGAGGCCGAGCAACAGAUUUGGGACCUUGUGCCGGAUCCCGUGCUUGUGCCUGCACCUGUGCACCCACAUGAGCUAUAUAACGCGGCCAAUUGGCCGGAAUGGGCAGUGGCCGCCGAGUUUUAUUUCCCCGACAACCAUAUAGCAUUCCAUGCAUUCUAUGGCGGUGGCGGUGGCCAUGGCAUGGUUGUGGUCGUGGUCGUGGCGCGGGCCGUGGACGUGGUGCUACUGCCCACGACCAUGGUGGAGGCCGUGGUGGUGGUGGUGGUGGCGAUGCUAUUGGCGGUGGCCAUGACAGCGACCAUGGCAUCGGCAGGAGCCGUGGUGGUGGUGGUCGUGGCUGCAACUAGCUAG